UGGAUUAUAGUUAAUUAUAACAUUUGAUUUGCAUUCAAAAGGUAUCUAUAUAGAUUAAUCUUA
rnacentral:tRNA from 1 species